rnacentral:rRNA from 1 species
AGCGAACGCUGGCGGCAGGCUUAACACAUGCAAGUCGAGCGGGCAUCCUUGUGGUGUCAGCGGCAGACGGGUGAGUAACGCGUGGGAACGUGCCCUUCGGUUCGGCAUAACUCUGGGAAACUUGAGCUAAUACCGGAUACGAGCGAGAGCAGAAAGGGUUGUCUGACGAAGGAUCGGGCCGCGUCUGAUUAGCUAGUUGGUGAGGUUACGGCUCACCAAGGCGACGAUCAGUAGCUGGUCUGAGAGGAUGAUCAGCCACACUGGGACUGAGACACGGCCCAGACUCCUACGGGAGGCAGCAGUGGGGAAUAUUGGACAAUGGGGGCAACCCUGAUCCAGCCAUGCCGGGGGAGUGAUGACGGCCUUAGGGUUGUAAAGCUCUUUGCUCCGGGACGAGAAUGACGGUACCGGAUGAAGAAGCCCCGGCUAACUUCGUG